UUUCACUAGUGGCAUUGCAACCCGUCAAAGAUGUAAAGUACUGUGAAAAAAAACAAAAUUUAUUCCAUUCUAGCUCAUUGCAGUUGCAUUCAUCUUACAAAUUCACAAAUCACAAAAAUCAUCACAAUCACACAUCUGGGCAUAUCCAAACACACAUCUGGGCAUCACAAAAUCAAUAUGAAGCGCAUCACAAAAUUAAUGAGAAUAAAACAGAGACUUGCCAUUGACGAUGAAAUCCUAAAGCCGUUGUUGCCAAGCUCGACGCCGGAGGAGGAAGUCAACGUCAAUGGUGCUUCGGCGGUCAUCGUCGCUCGAGUAGAUCUAGAGGAGGCGACUACCGGUGACCUUGGGGCAGAGUGCGAAAGAGGAGGUGGCCGGAGCAUGGGGGCAUCUAGAUCCGGUGGUCUCCAACCACCUUGAGAUCGGAUCUGGCACCAAGGAGCUCGAGGUGACGGAGAGAUAGCGGUCGGCGACCUUGGGACGAAGAGAGGAGGCGGCGACUAGAGCAUGGGGGUUGUCCAGAUCCUGUGGUCCCCAACCAUCUGGAGACCGGAUCUAGUGCCAAGGAGCUUAGGGCAGUGAAGUGACGGGGGUCGAUCGGCGACCUUAGGCGGUGGGCGAGGGAGGCGGCAGCCCCGAGCUCAUGGAGGCCAGCAGCGAGUGAAGGAGAUGGCGACGCUUUGUUUGGUUUGUUGUAAUGUGAUCAGUUACUGUUUGGUUUGUUUGAUGCCAAAAAUGUGUUCACACUUACAGAAAUCAGACUCAAACGGUGCAGAAGAAGUCCGUUACUGCCAUUUCCUGUUUCAAAAGUAAAUGGUGAAUCGUAAUGAUGAGCAAAUAAUGAGAAGUGACAAGGUGACCAUCCCAUAUAUAUUGCAGAUUGGGGUGUGUAUGCUCAUAUUGAUAGUUGGCAGAAGUGAACAAACAUGACCAUUAUAUUGCAAAAACAGAGAGAGUUCAGCUAGGCUCAGUUGACUGUACAAAUUAGGAGGAAUCCAACUUCCAAUAAUCUAUGCGGGUACUGCAAGCUCAUAUAUAUGACAAGGUUUGGGUGGCUAGGAUUGGGAAGCAUCAGGAAAUGAAGAUUAACCACAGCUUUGGAAAGGUAGGCAAAUCAGCUAGUACAAUAUAACGCAUCUUCUAAUCUCAAUUAUAGGUUCAUAUAGCUGUGCUUCCAGCUCUUGAUCAAGGAACAGACGUUGGAUGUCCAUGGCCUAUUCGGAAAGCAUUGCAGGAACCACGAGCGCUGGGAUUAUCUCGGAGCUACGAGCCUCCUACACAUUCAGUGAUUGGAACUCAAUUGCUCUUGCGGAAUGAGGACGCGGUAAUGUUCUUGCCUGCUUUGAUUCUAAAUUUAGCCUUCUGGAAGCCGCAGUAUAUCACUGUUCCGUGAGAUUUGUUGGAUCAAGAGAGAUUGCAGCAACUCAGAAGAAUUUUUGUUCUCGAGAAACUGGCAAGAUAUCUGCCUUGAUUUGUAUUAUGGAUGGUGCGAAUCACAUGACCAGAGUAGUAUCUAAUUGCUGUAUAUUAACAAGGUUAAUUCUCGUCACAAGACAUAUAGGCAACUCAAUCUGUGUGAUGUACAGAAUUUUAUCAUGAAGGCAACUCUUUUUGAAA